rnacentral:rRNA from 1 species
CACCAGCGCCUCAAGUGGUAUCCGUGAAUAUUUGGCCUAAAGCGUUCGUAGCCGGAUGGAAAAGUCUAUUGUGAAAUAUUGUGGCUCAACCUCAAUGCGCGCAGUAGAUACUUUACGUCUUGAGAACGGGGGAGGGUAGGAGUACUUCUAGGGUAGGAGUAAAAUCCUUUGAGCCUAGAAGGACUACCAGUGGCGAAGGCGCCUGCCCAAAACGUGUCUGACGGUGAGGAACGAAAGCUGGGGGAGCAAACGG